UUGCACGCUGGCGGCAGGCCUAACACCUGCAAGUCGAACGGUAACAGGAAGCAGCUUGCUGCUUCGCUGACGAGUGGCGGACGGGUGAGUAAUGUCUGGGAAACUGCCUGAUGGAGGGGGAUAACUACUGGAAACGGUAGCUAAUACCGCAUAACGUCGCAAGACCAAAGAGGGGGACCUUAGGGCCUCUUGCCAUCGGAUGUGCCCAGAUGGGAUUAGCUAGUAGGUGGGGUAACGGCUCACCUAGGCGACGAUCCCUAGCUGGUCUGAGAGGAUGACCAGCCACACUGGAACUGAGACACGGUCCAGACUCCUACGGGAGGCAGCAGUGGGGAAUAUUGCACAAUGGGCGCAAGCCUGAUGCAGCCAUGCCGCGUGUAUGAAGAAGGCCUUCGGGUUGUAAAGUACUUUCAGCGGGGAGGAAGGGAGUAAAGUUAAUACCUUUGCUCAUUGACGUUACCCGCAGAAGAAGCACCGGCUAACUCCGUG
rnacentral:rRNA from 1 species